rnacentral:rRNA from 1 species
UAUCGUUUAUUUGAUAGUACCUUACUACUUGGAUAACCGUGGUAAUUCUAGAGCUAAUACAUGCUAAAAACCCCAACUUCGGGAGGGGUGUAUUUAUUAGAUAAAAAACCAAUGCCCUUCGGGGCUCUUUGGUGAUUCAUGAUAACUUAACGGAUCGCAUGGCCUUGCGCCGGCGACGGUUCAUUCAAAUUUCUGCCCUAUCAACUUUCGAUGGUAAGGUAUUGGCUUACCAUGGUUUCAACGGGUAACGGGGAAUUAGGGUUCGAUUCCGGAGAGGGAGCCUGAGAAACGGCUACCACAUCCAAGGAAGGCAGCAGGCGCGCAAAUUACCCAAUCCCGACACGGGGAGGUAGUGACAAUAAAUACUGAUACAGGGCUCUUUUGGGUCUUGUAAUUGGAAUGAGUACAAUUUAAACCCCUUAACGAGGAACAAUUGGAGGGCAAGUCUGGUGCCAGCAGCCGCGGUAAUUCCAGCUCCAAUAGCGUAUAUUAAAGUUGUUGCAGUUAAAAAGCUCGUAGUUGAAACUUGGGCCUGGCUGGCCGGUCCGCCUCACCGCGUGUACUGGUCCGGCCGGGCCUUUCCUUCUGGAGAGCCUCAUGCCCUUCACUGGGUGUGUUGGGGAACCAGGACUUUUACUUUGAAAAAAUUAGAGUGUUCAAAGCAGGCCUUUGCUCGAAUACGUUAGCAUGGAAUAAUAGAAUAGGACGUGCGAUCCUAUUUUGUUGGUUUCUAGGACCGCCGUAAUGAUUAAUAGGGAUAGUCGGGGGCAUCAGUAUUCAAUUGUCAGAGGUGAAAUUCUUGGAUUUAUUGAAGACUAACUACUGCGAAAGCAUUUGCCAAGGAUGUUUUCAUUAAUCAGUGAACGAAAGUUAGGGGAUCGAAGACGAUCAGAUACCGUCGUAGUCUUAACCGUAAACUAUGCCGACUAGGGAUCG